GACGAACGCUGGCGGCGUGCCUAAUACAUGCAAGUCGAGCGAACGGGCGAGGAGCUUGCUUCACUGUUGUGAGCGGCGGACGGGUGAGUAACACGUGGAUAAUCUACCUAUAAGAGUGGGAUAACUUCGGGAAACGGGAGCUAAUACCGGAUGACAUCUUGAACCAUAUGGUUCAAAAGUGAAAGACGGUAUUGCUGUCACUAAUAGAGGGAUCCGCGCUGCUUUGGUGGGUUGUGAAGUAAACGGCCUACCAAGGGAAGGAUGCAUAGCCGACGGAGGGGGGGGAUAGGCAACACUGGAACGAGACCAGGCUCCAGAGUCCUAGGGGAGGCACCAGAAGGGAACCUUCGGCAGUGGGGGAAAGCCUGACGGAGCAAGGCGGCGUGAGUGAUAAAGAUGUUGGGAUCGUAAAACCCGGUUAUUAGGGAAAAACAUAUGUGGAAUGAAAUGUGCACAUAGUGACGGUAACUAAUCAGAAAGCCACGGCUAACUACGUG
rnacentral:rRNA from 1 species